AAAAAUAAAAAAACAGUGCCAUGAAGAUCAGAGGUGGAGGAGUCAUACAUGACAGCAAUAUGAAAUGAUAAUAACAAUAAAUAAAUGAGAGAGGAAACAAAGAUAACCCUCAGAUUUUACUGGGAAAUCACUAAUAGACAGCCACUCUUCAAGGGAAAUCUUAUUUAACUUAGAGAUUAAAGCUGCAAAAGCCACAAAGCAAAGAUCUCAGGGUGUAUGGAGAUGGCAGCCUCUGCAUGAGCAUGGACUAAACAUCAAAAGAACACUAUCUUCGAGAAUAGACCUUUUUAUAACAAUUUUUACAAAAUUUACUAAAUUUGUAUGCAACUGCUAGGUUAGCAUAACCAAGUAUUAUGAGUAUCUAUGUAAUGUAAGCAAGUUAACUGUUCUGUUUGUGAUCAGGUUAGCUUUCUUGACCAUUCCCAUGGAAAGUCCCGACUUAAGUUUCACUUUUAAAUCCUUUUUCACCUGCAGUGUCUUUCUGUUAUAUUUCCUUUAGCUUGACUACAGCCAAGAUGGGCUUUUGCUGCCUAUAAUUAUUGUUCAGGCUUUGCAGAUCCACUCUGUAUAUGGUUAAUCUCUUUCUAAUGUUAUGCUUAGUAACUACGGUUUGCAAAUGAGUAAGAUUAGAUGGUAGGUCUCCAUUAUAACUGCCCAUGCAAGUUCUCCAGCUGUCUUUGGGAAGAAAAUUUAACAACCUACAGGUGGUUUCAGCUCUGCGUGACAUUGCCAGGAAGGAGACUGGGAGCACUCACACAUAGAGACUGUUAACAGGCAGUUGAGUAAGUGGCCUUCCUCCUGCUUUUCUGCUUUUAUUUUCCAUCUCCAGACAAUAUUUAAUGUAAGACUGUGUGAGUGCUCCUAGUCUCUUCCAAGGCCAAAUCAAAAAAAGGGCUCAUCACAGUUUAUCUGGGAAGUGGUAACUAACAGGUGAACAUGCCCAUAGGACAUGAAGUGUCCUUGGUCCUCGACUGUGUGGAUGGAGCUAUGGUCAGUUCUCGCUGCUCUGCCACUCUCCCUCAUUUUAAGGAAUGCUUGGCUUCUUAUGAAGCCAGUAACUUCUUGAAAAUGCAAUAAAAAUUAUGCAGGCCAAAAUUUGCAUUGGAUAAAUCAACAUCCUUGCCAUCAGCAUUUUGGGGAUUGUUGGUGGAUUUUUUGUUGUUGCUUUGUUUUGUUUUGUUUAUGGUAUGGGAAGAACUGCAACACUUUCUUGCAAUGGACUUCUGAGUCCAGAUGACAGUGCUGUGGCCCAUACAGGGUUUUAAGGCAAAUCAUGGAAACUGCAUUUGGUUUUGGUGCUGAUGCAUGAAAUAGGUUGAUUCCUAACAUACAGAUACUUUUCUUCAGAAGGUCCUGUUUGGACAUUCAGCAUUGUUGCAACACUAGUCUUUUGGCUUGUGUGGCCUGUUAGUGCAUGGUAUGCCACUAUUUAUUUUUUUUUUUCAAACUGUAUAUGCUUGAAUUAGCAUGAGGGAGUAUGAAAGUGCUUGGGACUUCACUGCAGUAUUUAAGAACUGCAUGCUGAGAUUUAGGCAGACAGUUGAAGAUGCACGUGAGAUGCAGGAUUUGACUAGAUGGGAAACCUACAGCUUGCGCAGCAACAGUGGCAGUGUGCAGAUGUAAAACCACACAGGAGGACAACUAUGACCUAGCCACACACCUUCCUCUGCUAAAUUUUGGGGAAGAGACCCACCACUGUUUGUCUGCAUAGGUAGACAGAAAGCUGCAGGUAGUUAUCUUCUUUGCUCUGCCCUGUAAAAAAUGAAAGCAUGGUCUUGUCCAGCGGUAGCCAGUAUUUACGAAGAAACCUCAACUACAGUGCUACUAAUGCUGCACAAGCAGCUUUGGAAGGGUUUUCACGAAGACGUGAAGCUGCUAAAUCCGAGGAGGGGAAGAGACUGAUGCAGUUAUGCAUGUACACAUAUAUUGUCUGUAAGGCUUUUACCGAGUUUUGAAAGGCCAAAGCAUCUAUAUGAUUCUUUAUGUAGGCCUUUGCAUCUAAUGAUGUGAAUGGCUUUGGGUAAGCAGUUUCUUAUAGGAUGACCUUGGCAAGUUGCAUUUGUUCUGUAACUACAACCUGGCCUCGGGUGUCAGCGUUCCAGAGAUUUUGUGGUAGGACAAAGUGUUCCCACCUUCUCCUUGUAUCACUUCCAGGAAAGAUUUUGGCAAAAUCCCCUGGAUCUGCACAGAACCUACAGAUUUAAGAUGUCUUUGCACAGCCAGAGGCUGAGAUCAUGGCUGUCUAACUACAGUUGGAUAUUUUCAUAUCUGCCAAGUUUAGCCUUAAAUAAAUAAAUGAAAAAA